AUAAAGAGGUGGCUCUUGUCUUGUAAGAGUAGUCAUUGGAGAGUAUAAUUUAUCUACACCUGGCCCUAGCAUAUAAAUCCAGAAGGCGGGAGCUGUAUUCAGAAGCUAUGAUGGGUCGUGGUGGAAUAUGUUUGUUGUGACUUAAGAUUUGUGAUGAUGUGGGGUUGGGGAAGUAUGUGACGAUCGAACAAUGUGGUUUUCUGUUUAUGUAGAUUACCAGGAGUUGUGGAAAUUUUUUUUUGUUUUUUUGGUUCCUGUUUAGAGUGCUGUGAUUUUCAUUUGUAUCCAUUUGCCUUUAUGUAAUGAAGCUCUCCUUUUCUUAUAUGAGUUAUUAUGUCGCAGCUAGUUUGCCUUAUAGCAUGCCAAUUUCCUUACACAA
rnacentral:misc_RNA from 1 species